ensembl:lncRNA
AGUAAUACUAUGAUUUGGCAGAAAUGCUACGUUUUAGUACAAAUACUAUGACAAAGCAGAAAUACUAUGACUUAGAAGUAAUACUAUCACAAAAGGGAUUCCUCAAAAUACAAUGAAAUUGCAGUAAUUCUAUGAUUUGGCAGAAAUACGGUACUUGAUACAAAUACAAUGCUUUGGUACAAAUACUAUAUUUUGGUUUGAAUACUAUGAUUUGCAACAAAUACUAUGAUUUGGCACGAGUAGUAUGAUUUAGUACAAAUACUACGAAUUGGCAGAAAUACUGUGACUUAGUAGUAAUACUAUAACAUAACAGAUAUACUGUUAUGUUGCAGACAGUCUAUGUUUUUGCACAAAUACCACAAUAUGGCAGAAAUACUAGGUUUUAGCACAAAUACUAUGAUUUGGUAUAAAUACUAUGUUUUGGCACAUAUACCUUAUUCAGCAGAUAUACUAUAACAUAACAGAAAUUCUACGACAUAGUAGUAAUACUAUAACAUAACAGAAAUAUUAAUUGGGCACAAAUACUAUAAUUUGGCACAAGUACCAUGUUUUGGCAAAAUCCCACAAUUUGGCACAAAUACUAUGAUAUGGCAGAAAUACUAUGAUUGGGUACAAAUACUAUGAUUGGGCAGAAAUACUAUGUUUCAGUACAAAUACUAUGAUUUAGCAGAAAUACUAUGUUUUAACAUAAAUACUAUUUUUUGGCAGAAAUUUCUGCUAAAAGGUACUAUUUCUGCCUUUUGGCAGAAAUACUGUAAUUUGGCAUAAAUACUAUGAUUUGGGAUAAAUACUAUGAUUUGACAGAUAUACUAUAUUCAGCAUAUAUACUAUAACAUAACAGAAAUACUUCCACCUAGUAGUAAUACUAUAAUAUAUCAGAAAUAUUCUGAUUUGGCCCCAAAACCAUGAUUUGGCACAAAUACCAUGACUUGGCAAAAAUACUAUGAUUGAGCAGAAGUACUAAGAUGUAGUAGAAUACUUUGAUUUAGCACAAAUACUAUUAUGGAGGAGUAAUACUUUAACAUGGGAGAAAUAUUGAUAUACACACACA